rnacentral:rRNA from 1 species
GAGUAACACGUAUCCAACCUUCCGGUUACUCGGGGAUAGGCUUUCGAAAGAAAGAUUAAUACCCGAUGUUGUGUAUCUUUCUCCUGAAAGAUACGCCAAAGGAUUCCGGUAACCGAUGGGGAUGCGUUCCAUUAGGCAGUUGGCGGGGUAACGGCCCACCAAACCUUCGAUGGAUAGGGGUUCUGAGAGGAAGGUCCCCCACAUUGGAACUGAGACACGGUCCAAACUCCUACGGGAGGCAGCAGUGAGGAAUAUUGGUCAAUGGACGGAAGUCUGAACCAGCCAAGUAGCGUGAAGGAUGACUGCCCUCUGGGUUGUAAACUUCUUUUAUACGGGAAUAACAUGAGGUACGCGUACCUUAUUGCAUGUACCGUUAUGAAUAAGCAUCGGCUAACUCCGUGCCAGCAGCCGCGGUAAUACGGAGGAUGCGAGCGUUAUCCGGAUUUAUUGGGUUUAAAGGGAGCGUAGGUGGGAUAUUAAGUCAGCUGUGAAAGUUUGGGGCUCAACCUUAAAAUUGCAGUUGAUACUGGUUUCCUUGAGUACGGUACAGGUGGGCGGAAUUCGUGGUGUAGCGGUGAAAUGCUUAGAUAUCACGAAGAACUCCGAUCGCGAAGGCAGCUCACCGGGCCGGAACUGACACUGAUGCUCGAAAGUGCGGGUAUCAAACAGGAUUAGAUACCCUGGUAGUCCGCACAGUAAACGAUGAAUACUCGCUGUUUGCGAUACACAGUAAGCGGCCAAGCGAAAGCGUUAAGUAUUCCACCUGGGGAGUACGCCGGCAACGGUGAAACUCAAAGGAAUUGACGGGGGCCCGCACAAGCGGAGGAACAUGUGGUUUAAUUCGAUGAUACGCGAGGAACCUUACCCGGGCUUAAAUUGCGCUGGCUUUUACCGGAAACGGUAUUUUCUUCGGACCAGCGUGAAGGUGCUGCAUGGUUGUCGUCAGCUCGUGCCGUGAGGUGUCGGCUUAAGUGCCAUAACGAGCGCAACCCUUAUCUUUAGUUACUAACAGUUUUGCUGAGGACUCUAAAGAGACUGCCGUCGUAAGAUGCGAGGAAGGUGGGGAUGACGUCAAAUCAGCACGGCCCUUACGUCCGGGGCUACACACGUGUUACAAUGGGGAGCACAGCAGGUUGCUACACGGCGACGUGAUGCCAAUCCGUAAAACUCCUCUCAGUUCGGAUCGAAGUCUGCAACCCGACUUCGUGAAGCUGGAUUCGCUAGUAAUCGCGCAUCAGCCACGGCGCGGUGAAUACGUUCCCGGGCCUUGUACACACCGCCCGUCAAGCCAUGAAAGCCGGGGGUACCUGAAGUACGUAACCGCGAGGAUCGUCCUAGGGUAAACCUGGUGAUUGGGGCUAAGUCGUAACAAGGUAGCCGUACCGGAAGGUGCGGCUG